UUUUACACUGUUGCCACAGGUUGUUUUUCAUGUCCACAGGUUGAAGCGACCCCAAAUAACAUGAUAUUUAGCCCCUGGAAUGUCAAUUUUACCUGGGGAACCCCACCAAAAACGCAGAGUUUACCCCGGAAUGUGAUUUUUACCCCCCACCUCCCCUAUUGGGCUAGUUCUGGGCUAGUUUUGAGUAACAAUUGGGCUGUAUUUGUUGUAAAAAACCUGGCAACCCUGCAGUAAGGUUCCAUUUGUUAACAUUAUUAAAUGCAUUGGCUAACAUGCACUAACAGUCAAUGAACAAUAUUUCAAAGCCUUCAUUAAUCUUUGUUAAUGUUAGUAUAAAUAUACAUGUUUAUGAUUUGUUAUCAUGUAUUUUAUGCAUUAUGCACUGCUGCAAAUUCUACAAACACUUUCCCCCUGCAGAAUGUGAAUAUUUUAGACAUUUUUAUUCCAAAAAUUAAAAUAACAAAUUUUUACUUUCAACAGAUGUGGUCUGAUUUUCAAUAGUUGAGCAGGAACACUCACCUUGUAAAAUCUGAUAUUAAUAACAGCACACUGGAGCAGAACAACAAGGGGUCUUGUUUUACAGGUCUCCACAAUACAAGGCUCAGAAGAGAAGAGAGCUUUUGGCGGACAUCAUGUCUAACAUCUUUGUGCUGACUCAUUCCUCUGUUCUCACCGGGAAGAUUAAAGGUUCCAUCCCGCCUGUGCUAUUGAUCCUCUCAGUGCCGCCGACACAAACUACAUGCAGACGUUUGAUCUGAGACAGACAGAUGUGCUCGAGACUAAAAGUGAUGGAGAAUUCUUGCCUACCGAGUCCCUCUGAGGUUUGAGGGCUAUGGAUCACUUUGCUGCUUUCAUAGCUUACCUUGGGCAACUUAUUUGAUAAUAAACAUGAUGUGAGGCUCUGGAUAUGAAACUUUUGGUUCACUGACAUAGUUGGACAUCAAAUAACUAGGGAUCAUUUUUUAUCAUUUAAUUUUUUUCCCUGAAGUCUACUUAUAAUAUUAGUUGAGGUUUUUGGCACGCAAAUGACACAGGACUAUCUGAGCUGUAUGAUGUUUUUGACACAUUGCAGACACAUUUUGACUCCUUAGGGGUUAAUCAAAU